rnacentral:rRNA from 1 species
UGCGAGGUGUGAGUCAUCUGGACUCGCCGAACUGCUCAGUAACACGUAGCUAACCUGCCCUAAAGAGGGGGAUAAUCCUGGGAAACUGGGGCUAAUAUCCCAUAGUUGUCUGGUACUGGAAUGUCCUUACAACCAAAGCUUCGGCGCUUUAGGAUGGGGCUGCGGCCUAUCAUGGCUGUUGUGAGUGUAACGUACUCACAAACCUGUAACGGGUAAGGGUCAUGAAAGUGAGAGCCCUGAGAUGCUUUCUGAGACAUGAAAGCAGGUCCUACGGGACGCAGCAAGCGCGAAACCUUUCCAAUGGCUUAGCGGUCGAGAAGGGAAGCCUGAGUGACUAUACUUUGUAUAGUCUUUUGUUUUGUGUAAAGAGCAAGACGAAUAAGUGGUGGGUAAGACGGGUGGCAGCCGCCGCGGUAAUACCCGCGCCACAAGUGGUGACCACUAUUAUUUGGUUUAAAGCGUCCGUAGCCGGUUUAGCAAGUUCUUGGUGAAAUCCAGCAGCUAACUGUUGGGCGUGCUGAGAAUACUACUAGACUUGGGAUUGGGAGAGGGUAGGGGUAUUCCAUGAGUAGGGGUUAAAUCCUUUAAUCCAUGGAGGACCACCAGUGGCGAAGGCGCCUACCUAGAACAAGUCCGACGGUGAGGGACGAAAGCGUGGGGAGCAAAUGGGAUUAGAUACCCCAGUAGUCCACGCCGUAAAC